rnacentral:lncRNA from 1 species
GAAGAUUUAAGGGGGUUCGCGGGUCUAAAUCAUUUAUAUAGGAUUUCUCUAUAUUUUUCUAUAAAUGAACUUUAUCUUAUAGUAAAUAGAAAAUUAAAAUAAAAAAGUGGGGUCACCGUUCAUUUGCGCUCACAAUCUGCCUUCGAAAGAAGCAUACAUUUUUGUAAAGGUGGUUGAAGUAAUAGGAGAAAUAUAGGUAAUAUUGAAAUAAAAAAAGAAAUUUAUUACAGAAAUCGCUCAAAUUUUACAAUAAUUUAGUUUAAGUACAGCUUAUAUGGAAAUUAUAUUAAAAAAUAUAUGUCACCGAUGAGUUAAAAAAGAUAUUUCAAUUCUAAAGCCAAAAAAGGGCAUUUUUCCACCAAAGGGAGAUAAUUUGGAACUUUUUCAAUGAUGUACACAUUUCAAAUGUCAUCUGGGGCCAACACGAAUUGAUUGUUUUGAAUGAUUUUUGUACCAUAUGAUAAAGUAACAACUGCAAAAGGUAAUAAAUAAAAUUUGUAGUGAAAAACAAAUGUUUAUUUUUUUCUGAAAUUUUUAUACCCUCGAGCCUCCUUAAGCCUUUUUA